rnacentral:rRNA from 1 species
CUGCUCAUGAGUAUUAAAUAGCCGCAGUACUUUGACUGUGCUAAGGUAGCAUAAUCAAUUGUCUUUUAAUUGGGGACUAGAAUGAAUGAAUUUAUGGUUAAAUACUUUAUUCAUAUGUUUAUUUAAAAAUUUUUUAUUAGGUGAAAAGACCUAAAAAAUUAUAUUAGACGAGAAGACCCCAGGAAUUUAUAUUAUUUUUUAUUGGGGCGAUAACUAAACAUCUUAAACUUUAGUUUUUAUUUAUACAACGAAAUAAUUUUAAUGAAGAAUAAAUUACCCUGGGGAUAACAGCAUAAUUUUUUUAAAAGAUUGUGACCUCGAUGUUGGAUUAGAAAAUAUUUUACUUAAAGAGUAAGAGUUAUUGUUCUGUUCGAACACUUUUAAUUUCUACGUGAUCUGA